rnacentral:lncRNA from 1 species
UUCUCUUGCUCUCUCUGGAUAACAAAAACGGGUUCUAAUAAGGGGCAACAAUGACCGGCAGCAGCGGAACAGUGAAAUUUUGAACAAGAUUACUUUCACCUAGACAAAGGUUUGAAAAUGUUGGAAGGAAGGCAAAUCACCAAAUAAAUUAAAAGCCUUGCACUACUGACAAGGUAUAUACAACUUCACAAAUUAAUUUUCAAGUAUAUAUUAUAUAUUAUAAUCCUCAUUGCUGGAAAUAUUUAUAUCUGAUUUUUUUAGAGAAAAUUGCUGGAAGCUUGAAGCUGGUAAGGUUGAAUUGACUAGCGCUCAUUGGAUUGAAGAAACAAGAAAAAUCACAAAGUCCAAUAGAAGAUGGACAUAUUUUGUAUAUAG